AAAAAAAAAAAAAAAAAAAAAAAAAAAAAAAAAAAAAAAAAAAAAAAAACGACAACAAAAUGCCUGAACCGAGAAAAAGAAAAGAGAGGUUCGUGGUUUCUUAGAAAGAUUGAACUACCUGUCAUGGUUCACAUCUCAUCUAAUAGCCACGUAUGAACCGAUAUUCAAGUUGUUGAAAAAGAGAAAAAGAUCAAACGGUCAGGCGAAAUAAUGAUUGCCAAGGGGCAUUGAAAGAAAUAAAGGAAUAAGUUGC
rnacentral:lncRNA from 1 species